GUCCCUGAAGCGCAAUGAAUUGCUCGUUGGAAUUCUAAUCCAAAGGUUGUGGGUUCGUAUCCAACUUGGGAUG